CUGAAUAUGGGGGGACCAUCCUCCAAGGCUAAAUACUCCUGACUGACCGAUAGUGAACCAGUACCGUGAGGGAAAGGCGAAAAGAACCCCGGCGAGGGGAGUGAAAAAGAACCUGAAACCGUGUACGUACAAGCAGUGGGAGCACCUUCGGGUGUGACUGCGUACCUUUUGUAUAAUGGGUCAGCGACUUAUAUUCUGUAGCAAGGUUAACCGUAUAGGGGAGCCGCAGGGAAACCGAGUCUUAACUGGGCGUUAAGUUGCAGGGUAUAGACCCGAAACCCGGUGAUCUAGCCAUGGGCAGGUUGAAGGUUGGGUAACACUAACUGGAGGACCGAACCGACUAAUGUUGAAAAAUUAGCGGAUGACUUGUGGCUGGGGGUGAAAGGCCAAUCAAACCGGGAGAUAGCUGGUUCUCCCCGAAAGCU
rnacentral:rRNA from 1 species